rnacentral:rRNA from 1 species
UGCUAGUCGCGUGCCUCAGCUAAAACGAGGCACGGCGCACAGCUCAGUAGCACGUGGCUAAUCUGCCCUUGGGACGAGAAUACCCCCGGGAAACUGGGGCUAAUUCACGAUAGGCGAAGAACACUGGAAUGUGUCUUCACCUAAAAGACCCUACGUUAUGCUCGUAGAAGUCGCCUAAGGAUGAGGCCGCGACCGAUCAGGUUGUUGGUGAGGUAAUGGCUCACCAAGCCUUUUACCGGUGCGGGCCGUGAGAGCGGGAGCCCGGAGAUGGGUACUGAGACAAGGACCCAGGCCCUACGGGGCGCAGCAGUCGCGAAACCUUUGCAAUACACGAAAGUGUGACAGGGCUAUCCCGAGUGCCAUCCGCUGAGGAAGGCUUUUACCCAGUCUAGAAAGCUGGGGGAAUAAGGAGAGGGCAAGUCUGGUGUCAGCCGCCGCGGUAAUACCAGCUCUUCGAGUGGUGUGGGUGUUUAUUGGGCCUAAAGCAUCCGUAGCUGGCUAGGUAAGUCCCUUGUAAAAUCCACCGAAUUAAUCGUUGGAUCGCGGGGGAUACUGCUUGGCUAGGGGACGAGAGAGGCAGACGGUAUUUUCGGGGUAGGGGUGAAAUCCUAUAAUCCCGGGAAGACCACCAGUGGCGAAGGCUGUCUGCUAGAACGCGCCCGACGGUGAGGGAUGAAAGCUGGGGGAGCGAACCGGAUUAGAUACCCGGGUAGUCCCAGCUGUAAACGAUGCAGACUAGGUGUUUGGACGGCCACGUGCCGUUCUAGUGCCGCAGGGAAGCUGUUAAGUCUGCCGCCUGGGGAGUACGAUCGCAAGAUUGAAACUUAA